rnacentral:rRNA from 1 species
GAUGAACGCUGGCGGCGUGCCUAAUACAUGCAAGUCGAGCGAAUGGAUUAAGAGCUUGCUCUUAUGAAGUUAGCGGCGGACGGGUGAGUAACACGUGGGUAACCUGCCCAUAAGACUGGGAUAACUCCGGGAAACCGGGGCUAAUACCGGAUAACAUUUUGAACCGCAUGGUUCGAAAUUGAAAGGCGGCUUCGGCUGUCACUUAUGGAUGGACCCGCGCCGCAUUAGCUAGUUGGUGAGGUAACGGCUCACCAAGGCAACGAUGCGUAGCCGACCUGGGAGGGUGAUCGGCCACACUAGGACUGAGACACGGCCCAGACUCCUACGGGAGGCAGCAGUAGGGAAUCUUCCGCAAUGGACGAAAGUCUGACGGAGCAACGCCGCGUGAGUGAUGAAGGCUUUCGGGUCGUAAAACUCUGUUGUUAGGGAAGAACAAGUGCUAGUUGAAUAAGCUGGCACCUUGACGGUACCUAACCAGAAAGCCACGGCUAACUACGUGCCAGCCGCCGCAGUAA